GCGGGAAGAGCUCAAAUUUAUAAUCUGGCACCUUCGGUGUCCGAGUUGUAAUCUCUAGAAAUGUUUUCCGCGUUGGACCGCACACAAGUCUGUUGGAAUACAGCGGCAUAGUGGUGAGACCCCCGUAUAUGGUGCGGACGCCCAGCGCUUUGUGAUACAUUUUCGAAGAGUCGAGUUGUUUGGGAAUGCAGCUCAAAUUGGGUGGUAAAUUCCAUCUAAAGCUAAAUAUUGGCGAGAGACCGAUAGCGAACAAGUACCGUGAGGGAAAGAUGAAAAGCACUUUGGAAAGAGAGUUAACAGUACGUGAAAUUGUUGGAAGGGAAACGCUUGAAGUCAGACUUGCUUGCCGAGCAAUCGGUUUGCAGGCCAGCAUCAGUUUUCCGGGAUGGAUAAUGGUAGAGAGAAGGUAGCAGUUUCGGCUGUGUUAUAGCUCUCUGCUGGAUACAUCUUGGGGGACUGAGGAACGCAGUGUGCCUUUGGCGGGGGUUUCGACCUCUUCACACUUAGGAUGCUGGUGGAAUGGCUUUAAACGACCCGU
rnacentral:rRNA from 1 species